rnacentral:rRNA from 1 species
GACGAACGCUGGCGGCGUGCUUAACACAUGCAAGUCGAACGGAAAGGCCCUGCUUUUGUGGGGUGCUCGAGUGGCGAACGGGUGAGUAACACGUGAGUAACCUGCCCUUGACUUUGGGAUAACUUCAGGAAACUGGGGCUAAUACCGGAUAGGAGCUCCUGCUGCAUGGUGGGGGUUGGAAAGUUUCGGCGGUUGGGGAUGGACUCGCGGCUUAUCAGCUUGUUGGUGGGGUAGUGGCUUACCAAGGCUUUGACGGGUAGCCGGCCUGAGAGGGUGACCGGCCAAAUUGGGACUGAGAAACGGCCCAGACUCCUACGGGAGGCAGCAGUGGGGAAUAUUGCACAAUGGGCGGAAGCCUGAUGCAGCAACGCCGCGUGCGGGAUGACGGCCUUCGGGUUGUAAACCGCUUUCGCCUGUGACGAAGCGUGAGUGACGGUAAUGGGUAAAGAAGCACCGGCUAACUACGUG